rnacentral:rRNA from 1 species
ACGAGUGGCGGACGGGUGAGUAACACGUAGGUAACCUGCCCAGAAGCGGGGGACAACAUUUGGAAACAGAUGCUAAUACCGCAUAACAGCGUUGUUCGCAUGAACAACGCUUAAAAGAUGGCUUCUCGCUAUCACUUCUGGAUGGACCUGCGGUGCAUUAGCUUGUUGGUGGGGUAACGGCCUACCAAGGCGAUGAUGCAUAGCCGAGUUGAGAGACUGAUCGGCCACAAUGGGACUGAGACACGGCCCAUACUCCUACGGGAGGCAGCAGUAGGGAAUCUUCCACAAUGGGCGCAAGCCUGAUGGAGCAACACCGCGUGAGUGAAGAAGGGUUUCGGCUCGUAAAGCUCUGUUGUUAAAGAAGAACACGUAUGAGAGUAACUGUUCAUACGUUGACGGUAUUUAACCAGAAAGUCACGGCUAACUACGUGCCAGCAGCCGCGGUAAUACGUAGGUGGCAAGCGUUAUCCGGAUUUAUUGGGCGUAAAGAGAGUGCAGGCGGUUUUCUAAGUCUGAUGUGAAAGCCUUCGGCUUAACCGGAGAAGUGCAUCGGAAACUGGAUAACUUGAGUGCAGAAGAGGGUAGUGGAACUCCAUGUGUAGCGGUGGAAUGCGUAGAUAUAUGGAAGAACACCAGUGGCGAAGGCGGCUACCUGGUCUGCAACUGACGCUGAGACUCGAAAGCAUGGGUAGCGAACAGGAUUAGAUACCCUGGUAGUCCAUGCCGUAAACGAUGAGUGCUAGGUGUUGGAGGGUUUCCGCCCUUCAGUGCCGGAGCUAACGCAUUAAGCACUCCGCCUGGGGAGUACGACCGCAAGGUUGAAACUCAAAGGAAUUGACGGGGGCCCGCACAAGCGGUGGAGCAUGUGGUUUAAUUCGAAGCUACGCGAAGAACCUUACCAGGUCUUGACAUCUUGCGCCAACCCUAGAGAUAGGGCGUUUCCUUCGGGAACGCAAUGACAGGUGGUGCAUGGUCGUCGUCAGCUCGUGUCGUGAGAUGUUGGGUUAAGUCCCGCAACGAGCGCAACCCUUGUUACUAGUUGCCAGCAUUAAGUUGGGCACUCUAGUGAGACUGCCGGUGACAAACCGGAGGAAGGUGGGGACGACGUCAGAUCAUCAUGCCCCUUAUGACCUGGGCUACACACGUGCUACAAUGGACGGUACAACGAGUCGCGAACUCGCGAGGGCAAGCAAAUCUCUUAAAACCGUUCUCAGUUCGGACUGCAGGCUGCAACUCGCCUGCACGAAGUCGGAAUCGCUAGUAAUCGCGGAUCAGCAUGCCGCGGUGAAUACGUUCCCGGGCCUUGUACACACCGCCCGUCACACCAUGAGAGUUUGUAACACCCAAAGUCGGUGGGGUAACCUUUUAGGAGCCAGCCGCCUAAGGUGGGACAGAUGAUU